UCAACUGUCGAUGGUAGGUUAUAUGCUUACCAUGGUUGUAACGGGUAACGGGGAAUCAGGGUUCGAUUCCGGAGAGGGAGCCUGAGAAACGGCUACCACAUCCAAGGAAGGCAGCAGGCACGCAAAUUACCCACUCCCGGCACGGGGAGGUAGUGACGAAAAAUAACAAUACGGGACUCUUAUGAGGCCCCGUAAUUGGAAUGAGUACAAUCUAAAUCCUUUAACGAGGAUCUAUUGGAGGGCAAGUCUGGUGCCAGCAGCCGCGGUAAUUCCAGCUCCAAUAGCGUAUAUUAAAGUUGUUGCGGUUAAAAAGCUCGUAGUUGGAUCUCAGCUCACGCUAGGUGGUCCACCUAAUGGUGGUUACUACUUAGCUGAGCAUUGGACAGAUUCGUCUUCUGAUGCUCUUCACCGAGUGUCAGAAGUGGUCUGUACGUUUACUUUGAAAAAAUUAGAGUGCUUAAAGCAGGCAUCUCGCCCGAAUAAUCUUGCAUGGAAUAAUGGAAUAGGACUUCGGUUCUAUUUUGUUGGUCUCCGGAAUCUGAAGUAAUGAUUAAGAGGGACAG
rnacentral:rRNA from 1 species